CCAAUAUGAAAAAAAACAAUAUUCAAUUUAUUCCUAUUUCAACAGUCAAGCACAGACACUACUUAUACCUACUACUACAUUGGAAAAUCUUCCUGAUAAAGUUCAAUCACCAACAUAUCUACCCAUCACAAAUUUACAAGACAAGGCUCAUUAUCUUCCUGAUAAAGUUCAAUCACUAACAUAUCUACCCAUCACAAAUUUACAAGAUAAGUAAGGAAAUAUUUCCUAUAUCAUAUAGUUCAAUAACCAACAUAUCUACCUAUCACAAAUUUACAGAUGAGGCUCAUCAUCUUCCUGAUAAAGUUCAAUCACCAACAUAUCUACCCAACUCAAAUUUAGUAGAGAAGGCUCAUUAUCUUCAUGAUGAAAACAGCCUUUGUCAAAAAGGUGUUGCAACCUAUUUACACCACAAUUUCCAUAAUGACAAUGAAAAAUUAAUGUGCAUUAAAAAUAUUUGGGAGCUUAGGAUUGGUUAUAAAUUUCCAGUGUCAUUAAAUAUGAGAAAUUUGGCAUUUCAAUUAUCAUUGCUAAAAAUAUAUAAGUGGCUUGCCUACUCAGUGAUAAAACAAGAGGCUUUUUGUAAGGUGUGUGUCAUUAUCUCACCAAGAUAUGCUGGGAAAGGGUUGCAAAAGCUAUAAACAUUAUUAGUACUGGGUAUACCAAGUGAAAAGACGCCUUAGAAAAUUUUAAUUUUCAUCAACAAAACAAAUAUCAUAUAAAUUCAUAUGAAAUAUUUGACAAUUUAAAAGCAAUAUCAAAUUGUAAAAAAAUAUCAAUAACCAAAGUUUUGGAUGAAUAAAAAUUUAAACAAGUUACAAAUGAUAUAAAAAGGAUAAUGAUAAUUAUUGAUGCUAAUAUUUGACUAGAGAGGUAGAGCAUUAAGAGCUCAUAGAAUAUCUACUGACCACUCUUCUCAUAAUGUAGGGAAUUUCAAGGAAUUGUUGAUACUUUUAUGCAAUAAUAAUGAUAACUAUAUAAAGCUUUUUAAAAGCUCUGUUUAUAAUGUCCACUGCCUUAGUCCAAGUAUUCAAAUUGAAAUAAUAAUCAUAUGCAAUAGGUUCGUAUUAAAAGAAAUUUCUACAAGAAUGAAAGCAUCACCAUUUUUUAGUGUUUUGGCGGAUGAGACUUCGGAUGUUGAUAACAUAGAGCAGUUAUCCAUAGCAGUAAGGUUUAUUGAUAUGGAAUCAGGUGAUUUCAAAAUUAAGGAACUUUUUGUUCAAUUUAUUGACUUACAUCACAUUAAAUCAGAGACGAGAGCCAAAAAAUUUUUUGCAUUCCUUCAAGACCUAGUAUAGCACAGCUCUAUAUGUUCACUGUGGUUCACACUAAAUUUGAUGAUAUCUGAGGCAUGGGAAAUUCGAGACAUCCGGAACAGUUUACAAAUAGAUAUCUAUUUAUAAUUCUAAUAUCGCUCGAAUCCUACAUAUCAGACAAAGAAAAAGAUUCCGCAGAUGCUGAAAAUCUUUAGCAGGCUAUUACGAAGCCGCAAUUUUUAAUAUCCCCCAAGCCAUAAAAUUAUUCAAAACAAUAGGGCAAAGGUUAUAAUAACAGGUGAUCCAUAAGAAGGCUUCUACCUUCGACAAAGAAUAUCAAUUGAAAUCUGUCGUUCCAACUGCAUAUCCAUACAUGGGUCAUUUACCUAAAUAUAAAUUUUUUUAAAAAAAUUCCACUUCUUUUAAUUAUAUAUCUUUAUAUUGAUUAUAGAUAUAGUA